UUUUUUAAUUUCUUUUUUUUAAUCUAUCUAUUUUCUUCAUCUGCUUUGCGUCGUGGUCUUCUUCGUUCCCGCUUUAUAGUGGACCUGUAACGUGUCCUCCAUCUGCUACUGGACCUGUAACGUGUCCUCCACCUAUGCUACGCAGCCUCUAAGUGCCAAUUGCAUUGCUCCAGAUACCCACCGUUUCCGGAUUAUAUCCUUCUUUCUGCUUCCAGUGCCUUCCAUUUCCCUCUCCCAAAGUCGCUUUCAUUCUCUCAAAUUGUUCUCCUCCAGUUUUCGCUCCACCAAAGUUCUGCCUUGCUGGAACCCUCACCGGUCUACCUUGAAGUUGCCAAUGAUUGAGGAGGUCCUUCAUUGUUUCGCCAUUGAAGAAGACUUCUUUACUAGGUCGUUCAGUAUUUCGCCACCGGAGAUAGAGAUCAGGGGGAUUCCAUUUACAAACCCAGGGCUUAGGAGCUGAUAGUUGCUUCUUCCAUUUCCCGUGUUUUGUGGUUUCCUCCUUCUUCUUUUCUGCUCUGCAAUUCUUAAAGGUAAUGAGUUCUUUUCAAUGUGUGGUAGCAAAUGGCUUCAACUGAUCAACGUAUUACAUUCCACCAAGUAAUAUGAAAUUUCUGUUUAUUUAUUUGUUAACGUGAAGUGUACAUAUAUUAUUGUUUCUUUUUUAAGUUCGUUCUCAUGUGAAAAAGUGAAGAUUAUCGUGUGAAGGUUAUUGAUUUUGGGUUUUCUAAUAAUGAUAUUGUAGGAAUUGCAAUGCAAAGCACGAUGAAGGAAUUAUUUUGUUGUUAAUCUUCAAUUACAGCAGCAAGGGUCGUGCCCUAAGCUUCUACAGUUCCGAUUGAGGGUUUAGUCUGCCAUAAAUUAAAGCUGAACAUGGCGCAAAGUCCGUUCUCAGGAGAUGUUUUGCAGAUAUGCAUCCGUUUGCACCUACCUCAGGAAAUGUUAAGAAUUUGGGUGAUAUGUUGUGUACUGUGACUGGAUUUGGUUCAUUUUCUUUGCAACCAAAUGUUGGGGCUGCUGGAGAGUAUGCUGGGCUGAUGGUUAUCCGAGCAUAUUACAUGGCAAUAGGUUAUCAUCACCGCAAUGUAUGCAUCAUUCCGGUGUCAGCACACGGAACAAAUCCAGCAAGUGCUGCUAUGUGUGGAAUGAAAAUCAUUACUGUUGGAACCGAUGCUAAAGGUAACAUCAAUAUUGAAGAGGUAUGAAAGGUUGCUGAGGCAAACAAGGACAAACUAUCUGCACUAAUGGUUGGGCCCUAUCAAUGACACCGACAUCUUUAAUCGAGUAUGGUGUGUUUGACCCUGUUCAGAAGUUGACUUCACGUGAAAAGUAUAUCACUGUUAAGAUAUGGAAUUUUGGCAGAAUUAGAGAGAUCUGGAGCUGAUACAGAUAAAGAUAUAAUUGAAUUUUUCAUGUCUGAAGUGAAGGCUAAAGAUAUCACAUACUAGACUUUCAGCUUUUGCAUUUGCAAUUUAUUUUUAUCAUCUUUGUUUCGAUUGUUAAAAUCGUGUAUUGUAACUUAAUAAAAUCUUUCCAUUUUGUCCA